GUUCUCACUUCAGCAGCAUGUGUAUUAAAAUUGGAACAAUACAGUGAUGAAUGUCCCCCUUGUACAAAGAUGACAAGCGAAUUCAUGAAAUGUUCCAUAUUUUU
rnacentral:snRNA from 1 species